UAGCCUAGUGGUUAAGGCUAUGGAUUGCCAAUCCAGAGACGGCAGGUUCGAUUCCUUU
rnacentral:tRNA from 1 species